AUUGAACGCUGGCGGAAUGCUUUACACAUGCAAGUCGAACGGUAGAGGGGGCAACCCCUCGAGAGUGGCGAACGGGUGAGUAAUAUAUCGGAACGUGCCCAGUCGUGGGGGAUAACGUGGCGAAAGUUACGCUAAUACCGCAUACGAUCUAAGGAUGAAAGCGGGGGAUCGCAAGACCUCGCGCGAUUGGAGCGGCCGAUAUCAGAUUAGGUAGUUGGGAGGGUAAAGGCUCACCAAGCCAACGAUCUGUAGCUGGUCUGAGAGGACGACCAGCCACACUGGAACUGAGACACUGUCCAGACUCCUACGGGAGGCAGCAGUGGGGAAUUUUGGACAAUGGACGCAAGUCUGAUCCAGCCAUUCCGCGUGCAGGAUGAAGGCCCUCGGGUUGUAAACUGCUUUUGUACGGAACGAAAAGGUCUCUCUUAAUACGGGGGACUCAUGACGGUACCGUAAGAAUAAGCACCGGCUAACUACGUGCCAGCCGCCGCUGUAAUAC
rnacentral:rRNA from 1 species